rnacentral:rRNA from 2 species
UGGGGAAUAUUGCACAAUGGACGGAAGUCUGAUGCAGCAACGCCGCGUGCGGGAUGACGGCCUUCGGGUUGUAAACCGCUUUCAUCCAUGACGAAGCGAGAGUGACGGUAGUGGGAGAAGAAGCACCGGCUAACUACGUGCCAGCAGCCGCGGUGAUACGUAGGGUGCGAGCGUUGUCCGGAUUUAUUGGGCGUAAAGAGCUUGUAGGCGGUUUGUUGCGUCGGAAGUGAAAACUCAGGGCUUAACUCUGAGCCUGCUUUCGAUACGGGCAGACUUGAGGAAGGUAGGGGAGAAUGGAAUUCCUGGUGAAGCGGUGGAAUGCGUAGAUAUCAGGAGGAACACCGGUGGCGAAGGCGGUUCUCUGGACCUUUCCUGACGCUGAGAAGCGAAAGCGUGGGGAGCAAACA